GUCAAAUCCGUGCAGCGAUAAAGUCGCCGCCGGCGGUUAGCUUGCGUAGAUCGUCUUCCGCCCCGUUCGCCACGCCACGUCUCGGAGUCGUCCCCACGAGGCAGUCUCGAAACGCAAAGCUGGUCACGAACCGGGUGGCAUAGAAGUCACUCUUUAUUAGCUAGAAUUGUGGGAAGAUCGCAGAGUUGCCGGCUGAUUCUGGAGUCGGCCGUCGCCGAGCAUUCGGCGGCGAUAACGAAGUACAAGCGGCUGUCGCAUUCGACCAGAUCACCGGAUGAGCGGCCACGGCAGCAGCGCGCGUCUGAUGCUCGGUGGCUUUUGGCUCAUUUCUUCCUUAGAAAGGCUGGUGAAGUGCCACGGGACACCAACAAAGGGAAAACCAAGAAGAAAGAGAAGAAGAAGAAGAAGAAGAAGAGCUGGUCUUCAUGGCUGCCGGACCCUACCAGAAGGUGGCCUGUUCAAGGUUGGUAGAGUAAAUACGAAGGAUCAGUUCAUAGUUUGUCUCGCGGAUGGCGGGUUGUGUGUUCAUUCUCCUACUGUUUGAUUUGUUGUACUGAAAUGUUAUUGACAUGAGAACAAAAAAAUACUGAUUGGCCAA